rnacentral:rRNA from 1 species
AUUGAACGCUGGCGGCGUGCUUAACACAUGCAAGUCGAGCGGAAAGGCCACUUCGGUGGUACUCGAGCGGCGAACGGGUGAGUAACACGUGAGUAAUCUGCCCUUGGCUUUGGGAUAACCACCGGAAACGGUGAUUAAUACCGGAUACGACCACUUCUCGCAUGGGAUGGUGGUGGAAAGUUUUUUCGGCCAGGGAUGUGCUCGCGGCCUAUCAGCUUGAUGGUGAGGUAACGGCUCACCAUGGCUUCGACGGGUAGCCGGCCUGAGAGGGUGACCGGUCACACUGGGACUGAGACACGGCCCAGACUCCUACGGGAGGCAGCAGUGGGGAAUAUUGGACAAUGGGCGGAAGCCUGAUCCAGCAACGCCGCGUGAGGGAUGACGGCCUUCGGGUUGUAAACCUCUUUCAGCAGGGACGAAGCGCAAGUGACGGUACCUGCAGAAGAAGCACCGGCCAACUACGUGCCAGCCGCCGCGGUAA